rnacentral:rRNA from 1 species
AACGAACGCUGGCGGCAUGCCUAACACAUGCAAGUCGAACGAGGCCUUCGGGUCUAGUGGCGCACGGGUGCGUAACGCGUGGGAACCUGCCCUUAGGUUCGGAAUAACUCCCCGAAAGAGGUGCUAAUACCGGAUAAUGUCUUCGGACCAAAGAUUUGUCGCCUUUGGAUGGGCCCGCGUUGGAUUAGCUAGUUGGUAGGGUAAAAGCCUACCAAGGCGACGAUCCAUAGCUGGUCUGAGAGGAUGAUCAGCCACACUGGGACUGAGACACGGCCCAGACUCCUACGGGAGGCAGCAGUGGGGAAUAUUGGACAAUGGGCGAAAGCCUGAUCCAGCAAUGCCGCGUGAGUGAUGAAGGCCUUAGGGUUGUAAAGCUCUUUUACCCGGGAUGAUAAUGACAGUACCGGGAGAAUAAGCUCCGGCUAACUCCGUG